rnacentral:rRNA from 1 species
AGGAGUUUGGAACUUCGCAUGGACGAAAGUCUGACGGAGCAACGCCGCGUGAGUGAUGAAGGUUUUCGGAUCGUAAAGCUCUGUUGUUAGGGAAGAACAAGUGCAAGAGUAACUGCUUGCACCUUGACGGUACCUAACCAGAAAGCCACGGCUAACUACGUGCCAGCAGCCGCGGUAAUACGUAGGUGGCAAGCGUUGUCCGGAAUUAUUGGGCGUAAAGGGCUCGCAGGCGGUUUCUUAAGUCUGAUGUGAAAGCCCCCGGCUCAACCGGGGAGGGUCAUUGGAAACUGGGAAACUUGAGUGCAGAAGAGGAGAGUGGAAUUCCACGUGUAGCGGUGAAAUGCGUAGAGAUGUGGAGGAACACCAGUGGCGAAGGCGACUCUCUGGUCUGUAACUGACGCUGAGGAGCGAAAGCGUGGGGAGCGAACAGGAUUAGAUACCCUGGUAGUCCACGCCGUAAACGAUGAGUGCUAAGUGUUAGGGGGUUUCCGCCCCUUAGUGCUGCAGCUAACGCAUUAAGCACUCCGCCUGGGGAGUACGGUCGCAAGACUGAAACUCAAAGGAAUUGACGGGGGCCCGCACAAGCGGUGGAGCAUGUGGUUUAAUUCGAAGCAACGCGAAGAACCUUACCAGGUCUUGACAUCCUCUGACAACCCUAGAGAUAGGGCUUUCCCUUCGGGGACAGAGUGACAGGUGGUGCAUGGUUGUCGUCAGCUCGUGUCGUGAGAUGUUGGGUUAAGUCCCGCAACGAGCGCAACCCUUGAUCUUAGUUGCCAGCAUUCAGUUGGGCACUCUAAGGUGACUGCCGGUGACAAACCGGAGGAAGGUGGGGAUGACGUCAAAUCAUCAUGCCCCUUAUGACCUGGGCUACACACGUGCUACAAUGGACAGAACAAAGGGCUGCGAGACCGCAAGGUUUAGCCAAUCCCACAAAUCUGUUCUCAGUUCGGAUCGCAGGUCUGCAACUCGACUGCGU